rnacentral:rRNA from 1 species
UACGGAGGGUGCGAGCGUUAUCCGGAUUUAUUGGGUUUAAAGGGUGCGUAGGCGGUCUAUUAAGUCAGUGCUGAAAUAUCCCGGCUUAACCGGGAGGGUGGCAUUGAUACUGAUGGACUUGAGUGCAGUCGAGGUAGGCGGAAUUGACGGUGUAGCGGUGAAAUGCUUAGAUAUCGUCAAGAACACCGAUAGUGAAGACAGCUUACUAGACUGUAACUGACGCUGAGGCACGAAAGUGUGGGGAUCAAACAGG